AACGAACGCUGGCGGCAUGCCUAACACAUGCAGGUCGAACGAGACCUUCGGGUCUAGUGGCGCACGGGUGCGUAACGCGUGGGAACCUGCCCUUAGGUUCGGAAUAACUCCCCGAAAGGGGUGCUAAUACCGGAUAAUGUCUUCGGACCAAAGAUUUAUCGCCUUUGGAUGGGCCCGCGUUGGAUUAGCUAGUUGGUAGGGUAAAAGCCUACCAAGGCGACGAUCCAUAGCUGGUCUGAGAGGAUGAUCAGCCACACUGGGACUGAGACACGGCCCAGACUCCUACGGGAAGCAGCAGUGGGGAAUAUUGGACAAUGGGCGAAAGCCUGAUCCAGCAAUGCCGCGUGAGUGAUGAAGGCCUUAGGGUUGUAAAGCUCUUUUACCCGGGAUGAUAAUGACAGUACCGGGAGAAUAAGCUCCGGCUAACUCCGUG
rnacentral:rRNA from 1 species